CUAAGCUGUUGUAGGAAUUGGAUUAAUAAAUAUUAAAUGAACACUCCAAACACAAAAAAAGAAAAAAUCUUCGCUUGCCAAGUGUUUUGUGUGUGAAGAGUAUGUCUUUUGUAUUUUCAUUAGAAAAUUGGCAGUUUUCUAAAUUAACCUUAUCACACCUCCCUGGCUGUCAAUCAGAUAGUCGGUCCUCUUACUCUCUGGUGCUUUAGGUCCAUGUAGCUACACUCAUGUGUCAGGCACUGGCCCAGAGCACCUGCCUUGCAGAAAUUUCUCAAUGAGCCGAACUAGAGUUCAUAAAGGAGUCUGUAAUAGGACAACCACAGAAAGUUAGUAUUGCCCUGCAUUCAGAUAUUUAUAUCGCUAUCAAUCAAUAGUUCUGUUCUACAACAUUUAUGCUAUGCUAAUUAAAUUGGCAGUCAUAACAAACAUUUACCAGUGGGUGGUUCCAUUACUCUUUUUGUUUCUUCUCUCUAGCACUCUGCUUGAUAAUAUCUAGGUUUUCUAAAUAAUUUUGGUAUGAAUAUGUAGUUUUGAAAUAUUAUAAAGAGUGCAUUUAUGGAAGAAAGCAAAAUGGUACAUAAAAGUAGG